GGUGGCUGCAGUAUCGAUCUUUAACCCCGCCCCCUCCAUGUUAGUGGAUGAGACUUCUGAUUGGUCUUGUAUCUGCAACUGCUGAUCUUUGUAAUCGCAGCUCCACUCCAAAGACUCUGGCUCUAAAUAAAGUCAAAAGUAGGGUCUGUAUGUGAGAGCCGAAAGUCCACAAAUGUUGCAAUUUCCGGUGUGUUCAAAUGUUUACUUUUACAAGUACAUAUUUUUGUAAUUAGAACAUUUGGAUAGAUAAUGUAUUAUGAUCAGGGUCAAUUUGACCUCAGGAAUAACACACUUUUUUUUUAGUUGCAUUUCAGGGUUUU